rnacentral:rRNA from 1 species
ACAUAUACUGUUGUGUCGAUAUUUUCUCCUCGGACCUUGAAAAUUUAUGGUGGGGACACGCAAACUUCUCAACAGGCCGUACCAAUAUCCGCAGCUGGUCUCCAAGGUGAAGAGUCUCUAGUCGAUAGAAUAAUGUAGGUAAGGGAAGUCGGCAAAUUAGAUCCGUAACUUCGGGAUAAGGAUUGGCUCUGAAGAUUGAGAUAGUCGGGCUUGAUUGGGAAACAAUAACAUGGUUUAUGUGCUCGUUCUGGGUAAAUAGAGUUUCUAGCAUUUAUGUUAGUUACUUGUUCCCCGGAUAGUUUAGUUACGUAGCCAAUUGUGGAACUUUCUUGCUAAAAUUUUUAAGAAUACUAUUUGGGUUAAACCAAUUAGUUCUUAUUAAUUAUAACGAUUAUCAAUUAACAAUCAAUUCAGAACUGGCACGGACUUGGGGAAUCCGACUGUCUAAUUAAAACAAAGCAUUGUGAUGGCCCUAGCGGGUGUUGACACAAUGUGAUUUCUGCCCAGUGCUCUGAAUGUCAAAGUGAAGAAAUUCAAGUAAGCGCGGGUCAACGGCGGGAGUAACUAUGACUCUCUUAAGGUAGCCAAAUGCCUCGUCAUCUAAUUAGUGACGCGCAUGAAUGGAUUAACGAGAUUCCUACUGUCCCUAUCUACUAUCUAGCGAAACCACAGCCAAGGGAACGGGCUUGGAAUAAUUAGCGGGGAAAGAAGACCCUUUUGAGCUUGACUCUAAUCUGGCAGUGUAAGGAGACAUAAGAGGUGUAGAAUAAGUGGGAGAUAUUAGACCUCGGUUUGGUAUCGUCAAUGAAAUACCACUACUCUUAUUGUUUCCUUACUUACUUGAUUAAAUGGAACGUGUAUCAUUUCCUAGCCAUUAUACGGAUAUAUUUAUUAUAUCUUAUGGUAUUGGGUUUUGAUGCAAGCUUCUUGAUCAAAGUAUCACGAGUUUGUUAUAUAAUCGCAAACAAAUUCUUUAAUAAAACGAUGCAUUUAUGUAUUUUUGAUUUGAAAAUUUGGUAUAACUCCAAUUACUCAGGUAUGAUCCAAUUCAAGGACAUUGCCAGGUAGGGAGUUUGACUGGGGCGGUACAUCUCUCAAAUAAUAACGGAGGUGUCCCAAGGCCAGCUCAGUGCGGACAGAAACCACACAUAGAGCAAAAGGGCAAAUGCUGACUUGAUCUCGGUGUUCAGUACACACAGGGACAGCAAAAGCUCGGCCUAUCGAUCCUUUUGGUUUAAAGAGUUUUUAACAAGAGGUGUCAGAAAAGUUACCAUAGGGAUAACUGGCUUGUGGCGGCCAAGCGUUCAUAGCGACGUCGCUUUUUGAUCCUUCGAUGUCGGCUCUUCCUAUCAUUGUGAAGCAAAAUUCACCAAGCGUUGGAUUGUUCACCCAUGCAAGGGAACGUGAGCUGGGUUUAGACCGUCGUGAGACAGGUUAGUUUUACCCUACUAAUGACAAAACGUUGUUGCGACAGCAUUCCUGCGUAGUACGAGAGGAACCGCAGGUACGGACCAAUGGCACAAUACUUGUUCGAGCGAACAGUGGUAUGACGCUACGUCCGUUGGAUUAUGCCUGAACGCCUCUAAGGUCGUAUCCGUGCUGGACUGCAAUGAUAAAUAAGGGGCAAUUUGCAUUGU